rnacentral:rRNA from 1 species
AUUGAACGCUGGCGGCAGGCCUAACACAUGCAAGUCGAGCGGAUGAAGGGAGCUUGCUCCUGGAUUCAGCGGCGGACGGGUGAGUAAUGCCUAGGAAUCUGCCUGGUAGUGGGGGAUAACGUCCGGAAACGGGCGCUAAUACCGCAUACGUCCUGAGGGAGAAAGUGGGGGAUCUUCGGACCUCACGCUAUCAGAUGAGCCUAGGUCGGAUUAGCUAGUUGGUGGGGUAAAGGCCUACCAAGGCGACGAUCCGUAACUGGUCUGAGAGGAUGAUCAGUCACACUGUAACUGAGACACGGUCCAGACUCCUACGGGAGGCAGCAGUGGGGAAUAUUGGACAAUGGGCGAAAGCCUGAUCCAGCCAUGCCGCGUGUGUGAAGAAGGUCUUCGGAUUGUAAAGCACUUUAAGUUGGGAGGAAGGGCAGUAAGUUAAUACCUUGCUGUGUUGACGUUACCAACAGAAUAAGCACCGGCUAACUUCGUG